AUAUAAUGGUGAAUGGCCAUUUUUCCGUUGCCGUUAUAUAAUGUGAACGUUUCAAUUUCGUCUUUAUAAGAAAAUACUAGCAUAAUAUACAAAACUCCUAUAGCUUUCUAUUACUUAAGUUUGGUCUACGUCUCUAAAAAGCAACAAUUACAUUAUCCUUAAAAAUAGUCACAAUAAUUAAUUAUUUCUUUUAACCUUCACAAAGUUGCCACGGGCCGCAUAAUAAGCUUUUGAGGGCCGAAUGCGGCCUGCGGGCCGUAGUAUGGAGACCCCUGGCUUGAGUAAACGAUGUAGUAGUGUCCCUUUUUAUCCACAAUGUUUUGACGUUUAAUGUGUUGUUGCUAUAUGCCGUUUUUUGCUUAUUGAUGUGUCCAUUUUGCCCCGCAUGACAAGUUAGCAUCACGUGAAACAUCGAAUUUUAUUUUACAGUUUUUGUUAAUAAUCUUAAGAAGUUGGUAAGCACUCUUUUAUUAAUUUUAAUUCGUAUAUAGGUAGAUCAACAGUACAAUCAAAUGAAAACGUAUUUAUGUUUAGUGGUAAAACGUAUUGAUUAAAUUGUUAAACAUGCCCGUAUUGUCCCACAUGCCCGUAAAGAAUACUCAUCUACAGAGAGAGAAAAACCCCAUUCCUCAGACUCGCUCAAGGAAGUGACGUUUCCCGCACUUAGUGUUUUGGCCUCGAUCGGGUCGAGUAACGCCGCGCGCAAAACAUGUUUACUUCCUGUUUUUUUCGUGUCAUUUCGUGCCUUCCCAAAAACGGUCCCCAAUACCUUGAAGAACGUCACUACAAUCAGCUGCCGAUCCCACUAAGUAAGGCCGGAAGGUCACAAAAUAUUGGUUUAAAAAAAGAACCGGCCCUUUGAUACGCGUCCAUCAUACGCGAGACCCACCCCCCUCCGGACUCACGGAAGCACACACUCACAGCCUCCCUUCCACAGUGUGGCAAGCAAACGGCAACAGCGAAGAUACGCGAUGAGCGAUCACGCACUCGGUUCGUGCAGAAAGGGCGGAAACGUUCCUACCCACAAAAUACGGCCCUCGCGCAGGGACUUUGAACGGGUUAGUGCGUAUUAGUGCACAUGUUGAUGGUUGUUGUGACCAAAACCGGUGGAAAGAUAAUUGUUUACCAGUUCGCAGGAAUAGGCUUUCGGGAUAGUGGCGCUUCGAAAAAAAGCAAAACAACCAAAUCAAGGAUCAUUGGCAUAUCAGAUGGUCGAUCGAGGCAGCGCUUGGCUUCAGUUGUUCUUUCGUGUCCAGUUUUGUUUAUCAACGGUUCAGUCCGGUUUUUUCCUUCCCCACUCUCGCAACACCAAACAGUCCACCCCAUCAGGCCUAUCAGCUGAUUAGAAGCAAAUAGCGUCGUUGCAUUGUUUACCUUCCUUGAACCGCCUUCCCAGACCGAACGUGGGCCAGUUUCCCUUCACACCUCUCGUAGGAGGGCGUGUGACUGUUUAGACUGGAUGAUAUGACAGUAUUCGCGCAAGCUCAUCGCCUAUCGCAAAGGGAGAAGGGGGAGCGUUUGAGACCACGACUAAGUGUUUUAUACGAACAUGCAAUCUCCAAGCGAGGAGAGAGAGAGAAAGAGAGAGAAUGAGAGAGAGAGAGAGCGAGAGAGAGAGAGAGAGAGAUAGAGAGAAGGCGCUCCGCGAUAUAAACACCACACUCACGGGUAUGAUAACCGAUCACGCACCGUCCGGCUGAUGUCUUCAUGUUGACGGAGUUUGGCCAAGUAACCAAGAGAAAAACGGUGACCUUCUAAAGACUAUACCUGGAUCUGUGCCAGUGGCGCCUGGAUAAGAUAUGGAAGGGUAAGGGUGGUAAAUAAUAAAGCAACACGCGAAGGUCCUAAAUAUAAAUAUUGUUUACAAUGAAUAAAAAAGGUCAAACUUUUUUUCAACUUUUCUAUGAAUAUUUGUUUAUAAUUAGCGGUGAAAGAGAGACUAAGAGAUCUAAAACCUGUAUAAUAAUGUACACAACAAUAACAAUUGUUUGUUAUCUUGGAAUUUUCACGAACACUCUGUUGAUACUAUGGUUCACUUAUACUAGCAAGUGGCGCUUUAGCAUAUAUACAGACAAAAGUGAACCCUAAUCGCAGUGAACCUAUGGUCUAAUAGCAUACGCGUUCGCUCCAACAACAUCAGACAAGGAUCGUUUCCCAUCUAAUACAUACUCCAGUAGCGUACAAAGCUGCCAUUUUACACAACUCUUAAUCAGCAGUUGGUGGUGAAGAGCUUUCCAAUACGCAGUUAAGUCUCGUUCCCGCCUGCAUUGACCUCUACCGUGCAAGCAAACGGAAACGGUUAUAAAUGUGCAGUAACAACAGCAUGCACAACACAUACACACACAUACAUACAAAAAACCCAUCUUCAACAAUUGCAGCAUGUGAUAAAAAUAAUUGCCCGCAACAAAAAAUACCCACCGCGGGCAAGCCAGGGGCGUCCAGACUGAUAAGCGCGGAGUAAAAGUCACCCCAGCAAAGUUGCAAUCGCCUUCACCACCGUACAGUGUAGCUAUCGGGCGAAACCAGUCAUAACCAGCGCUCCAUCGAUGGAAUGGAUCCACCAGAGCUCGGUACGGACGUGCCAAACAACAUAAACAACUGGGCAGCAUCCACCAGCCGGCCGGUACCGCACCGACUUACCCCCUACAUGGAACUCUGCUACUUAGAACCGUACGGCGGCUACUGACGUCAAUCGGUCGGUCGGGACCCACGGUUCACCGUGUGAUAGUGGAUUGGCCCCGGCCCCAAAAGCGUGCACUGGAAACGGGGGCGGGCCAUUCCGGCUGAGGAUGGAGCAGAGCCUUCACCACUAGGUAAACGCGUGGGAAAAUCAACCAAUAAGCUUGAGGAUUCAUGCAGAGGGUCGGGAGCGGAGCGAAGGAUCGAGUUCGUUCGGGUCGAAAUAAUAAGCUGAUAGUGGUAGUGGCAGACAAGCGGACCAGGCCGUGGCUAGAGCGGCAACGCAAUAGAGCUCGCUCGGAGCAUUACGCUAAACGGGCCCCUGAUAAGCGCCCGCUUGGAGGUACAUCCAGCCACCAGGUGAUCAAGGGGACAGUGGGUAAGGCAUGGAAGGUUCCUUGCCAGCUUGUUUGCAAAACCACUCCUGCUCCGGUUUUCCAACGCGUACAGAGUGGAGAAUGAUCGACACAAAACACCCGAGCUCUCGCUGCCCGGGUUCACAUUCCUUCGAUGGCCUACGCGAGGUCGUCGGUUCGUGAACGGCGAAAGGUGAUGCAGCUGAUAUGUAGAGGUGGGUGGUGGAUGGCCACCCAAUGUCCGGCUAGUAGCGCGAGACUGCGGAGUACACGAGACGCCGUCGAUGAGUCGACUACCGUUGCACGGGGGAAAGUGGACCGCACAAUCGGUACUGCGGCUCGAGCAGUGGUAGCAGCUUGUGAGCAGUGAUAGCACCAUCGUCGUGGUCGUCGUUGAGCCCUACAUUGCUCCCGUCGAGGGUGAAGAUCCUUGUGCGGUGAUGAUCACGCGUUCAGCACGUUCCCGGAGCGUGCUCGAUGACACUGAGCGCAGAGACAGAGCGCUUGCUGGAGGCCCCCCAACCGACUGACCGACCGAUAGUGGAGCAUACCGAGUGGAGAUGAAUGCGAAUCAUACUACCAAAUGGUAUUCAGCUUGCGGGCAAAUUUGAGUUGGUACAGCGACGGGCGUGUGUGUACUUGACCCCGGACGCAAUGUUCCAAAAUAUGGAGUACAAGCGAUACGACGGGUGUUGUGAAUUGUUGUGAAAUAUAGUUUAAUUCAAUACUUGAA